rnacentral:lncRNA from 1 species
AUAGUUUAGGGUGCAAUCGACAGGAAUUUUGAGUUGGAGGUUCAUUUCGUCGAACCUCUACAAAUUCAGGUUCAAAAUGGACUUUUUCCGACUAAAAUCAAGAUCGAUUUGCAGAUUCUGUUAACAUAAAUACCGCCUGCACUGCACCCGUUCAUCUGAUCUGAUCUGAUCGGAUCGGAUCGGAUCGGUCACCGCGACGUACGCCGACGGCCGAAGAUGGCGCCGUCGCACAGGCACAGGUACGGAGGAGACCGCCUGAGCGCUCUCCCCGACAAUGCGCUGGAGCGCGUCCUCUCCCACCUGAUGUCUGACGAGGCUGUGCGCACCAGCN